GCUAUUUAACCACAAAUUGAAGAGGGUGGGGGUAAGGCCAAAUCGCCAGCAUUUGUUAAAAGAUUAAUACUCUUAAGUGGCGCUCUGAUACCUUUCCAAGUUUAUCAUCACAGGGGGAUCAAUAAUUAUCAGCUGUUCUAUUUAGACCAACUUACAACAUCUAGCUCAUUAGAAGCCAGGAUUUGGAAAGCUCUUCCGAAGCCAUUGAAGAUUUUCUUACAUUGAGUUUCAUUUUAUAGAACUUUCUAGGACUUUUUUUUUUAACAGAAUCAUUUUAGCCUCAGGACUGAGAAUGUGGAGAGCUUGAAUAAAUUAGCUUUAAAUACAUCAUUAAAAUCGUAUGCACAAUAAGCUCAUUAGAAUCUAGUUUGCUCCUUUAGAAUAUCAAGCCUAUAGACGCUAUAGGACACGAUGAAAGGUAUCAGCCACGCUGAAGUGGAGGGGGUUUCAGAGAAAGGGCCCUUCCCCACCAGCCAGCCAGUAGAACAGAAGACCUACUCACCCUUUUUCCUUCUUCGUUCUGCUAAAUCCACACCUGCCUCAUAGAGAGAGGAGUUCUGCCUUUGAGGUUUGUCUUGGAGAAAAGAUAAGCUUGAAAUGUUCUCCCUACAGAGGACAUGGGAUUUGGGAUCUUCCGAAAAGCCCCAGGAAAAAAAAAUGGAUCAGUUCGAAUACAGUGUUCUAGGACAAUUGGAAUAUAAGUAUUGUCCAAAAAUAGAAUUAAAAGAAGAAAACAAAGUUAGCAUUUUCCUAAGUGUUAACUAAGGAAGUCCUCAAAAAACGGUGCUGUCACUUGGGGCGGGUGGGGUUGUUUGGAAUUGUAAACAGCAAAGCAUUUGUGUUUGUUUGUCUAUUUGUAAAGCAACCACCUUCCUUAUUGGAAGGAGAAAAAAUUGGGGGUACAUACAUGUAAAUACUUGCAGCAGCAUUUAAUAUGUUUAAUUUUAUGUUAAGCUUUUUGUUGCAUCGUGAAGACAUUUAUUGUUACCAAUGGACAAUGAGUUCAUUAAGACUGUUCAACUAGGUCAGAUUUUUACAUCUCUUUAUAGCAAGAAGAGACAAGAUUUUGUGCAUUUGUACAAAUGUUAAUAAUAUCACUGCAAUUCCAAUAUAAUAAAGCACUUAAAUGC
rnacentral:lncRNA from 1 species